CUAACUCCGUGCCAGCAGCCGCGGUAAUACGGAGGGUGCGAGCGUUAAUCGGAAUUACUGGGCGUAAAGCGCAUGCAGGUGGUUUGUUAAGUCAGAUGUGAAAGCCCGGGGCUCAACCUCGGAAUUGCAUUUGAAACUGGCAAACUAGAGUACUGUAGAGGGGGUAGAAUUUCAGGUGUAGCGGUGAAAUGCGUAGAGAUCUGAAGGAAUACCGGUGGCGAAGGCGGCCCCCUGGACAGAUACUGACACUCAGAUGCGAAAGCGUGGGGAGCAAACAGGAUUAGAUACCCUGGUAG
rnacentral:rRNA from 1 species